UACGAAGGGGGCAAGCGUUGUUCGGAAUUACUGGGCGUAAAGGGCGCGUAGGCGGCCGAUCAAGUCAGGCGUGAAAUUCCCGGGCUCAACCUGGGGGCUGCGCUUGAUACUGAUUGGCUUGAAUGCGGGAGAGGAUAGUAGAAUUCCCAGUGUAGAGGUGAAAUUCGUAGAUAUUGGGAAGAACACCGGUGGCGAAGGCGGCUAUCUGGCCCGUAAUUGACGCUGAGGCGCGAAAGCGUGGGGAGCAAACAGG
rnacentral:rRNA from 1 species